UCGCUGUAGGCGGAGGACGAGAGCUCCUCGCGCGGGGUGCAGGCCGGGCACCGCCGACGCAUGUCGUCCCAGCACGACUGGCAGUACACGGCCCCGCAGUCCGGCGUCGGGCACAGAUGAGAAAACAUGUGUGGAAAGGCAGUCUCUUGCCCUGAGUUACAUGGUGACAGCUAGUGUGUGCAUGGAGCUUGCUAGGUGCCUGCUCCAUGAGAGUGAGACUCCCUUCGUUUUUCCAACAACCAGAUGGAACAGUAGUUCACUCUGUGUUCCAGAAGGGAAAAACUGACGGCCAGCAUUUAAAAGUAGGUGCUGAUAUAGAUGUUGUCAAAGCGGAUGUCGCCAUUGUAGCUGUCCACAUAGGAGAAGGACCUGUGCAUGAAGACAUCUCCAUGUCCUCCAAGCUCUCUUCACCCAUCCCCAACCACGGGCUUCCUGAUGCUCGGUCAUUCCCCAGACCACCCAGCAUGGCAGAGACACUCUGUCAGCAGCCUGCAGUCUGGUGCAAGGUGGGUACCCAUACAAGCAAGGAGACACAGGUGAAAAGGCAGGGAGGAUCAUGUGCCCAGGCGAGAGGGGAGGUUUCCCAGGUGUGGAUCCAGCUGGCGGGAUCUCAAGCAGAGGAAGCAGCAGGAGCAAAGGCAGAGAGAGGCGGGGAACCCCUCAAGGCUACAGAACCACCAGCCAGGGAUCCCUGGGUGGCGCAGUGGUUUGGUGCCUGCCUUUGGCCCAGGGCGCAAUCCUGGAGACCCAGGAUCGAAUCCCACAUCGGGCUCCCGGUGCAUGGAGCCUGCUUCUCCCUCUGCCUGUGUGUGUCUCUGCCUCUCUCUCUCUCUCUCUC